CACUGUAUGUAUCCCUCCUUUCUGAGGCGUGUCAGUUUGGAUAAGCCAGUUUGGACUCUCUUAGUCCUUAUCCACUCUGAUGAGUCAUCCUGACGAGCACAUAAUGGAGGGUGGUAGCCUACAUCCAGUGUACUACAUUACCCAUAAUGCUCUUGUUCUGAUAUCUGUCUCCUCACCAACCCAAGUGCCAGUACAUAUGAGGAGGCUGCAGCCUAUAUCUAGUGUACUACACUACCCAUAAUGCAUUAUUAUUGUUGUUGUUGUUAUUAUUAUUAUUACAGGUGCCAGUACAUAUGAGGAGGCAGCAGCCUAUAUCCAGUGUCAGUUUGAGGAUCUCAACAGGAGGAAGGGCACUAAAGAGAUCUACACCCACUUCACCUGCGCCACCGACACCAAGAACGUCCAGUUCGUGUUUGACGCCGUCAUCAUCAAGAUCAACCUAAUAGAGUGUAAACUCUGCUGAGGUGACAGGGAUCUUCAAUGAAAGAAUGAACUGACCGAGGAUCAAGAUCAAGUGUGUAACAAAAUGUCUUGUUACCGAGGGGGAAGAUACGCUCAGACCCCACUUGCAGAAUGGAGUUUUCCUUGUUCUAAUGGCAACUCUGCCUCCGAGGGCAGAAACAAAUGUGAUUUGGUUAAGUUUAGGCAAGAAGUGAGACACUAAGUAUGUAAUUCCACGUAAUAAAAAGUUAUGGGUUGGGUUAAGUUUAAGUAAGAAAUAUGAUUGGUUCGAAACCAAAAAAAACUCCACUGAGCGUUAAUUCUGUCCAGAAAACGGUUGCCAAAUAGCCACUACCUACUGUAUCUGGGAUAGACUGUCACCACUUCCCCAAACAAUACUAUACAUUCCAGGGUCAUAUUCACCAUUAGGCCCCCAAACAGAAGAAAAUACACUGAAACAGGGAGGGAAGUCCAAUAAGACUUUAAUAAGAACAUUUUUGCUUCAUUUUGAAACGGUGUGCACUAAUGAAUAUGACCCUGGAGACUGAUCAGAUGUGGUAACUACAUUAUGUUUCUGGUUCAGUUUGACUUUGUACAGAUUAUGUUGUUGAUCUUAACACCAUUAAAUUAUGGCACUAAAGCUC